UGUGUGUGUGAGUGCUGGAUGAUGGGUGUUUGUGUGAGUGCUGGAUGAUGGGUGUUUGUGUGAGUGCUGGAUGAUGGGUGUUUGUGUGAGUGCUGGAUGAUGGGUGUUUGUGUGAGUGCUGGAUGAUGGGUGUUUGUGUGAGUGCUGGAUGAUGGGUGUGUGAGUGCUGGAUGAUGGGUGUGUGAGUGCUGGAUGAGGGGUGUGUGAGUGCUGGAUGAUGGGUGUGUGAGUGAUGGAUGAUG